AUCACACUGAACUUCCUGAGGAGAAUGAAGCAGGAGGAGCUGGCUGAUCGUCUGCAGAGAAAUCAUUUUGCUCCAGUUUGUCAACGUGAACUUAAAUCUAGUCUGAAGGAGAAGUUCCAGUGUGUGUUUGA